GACGAACGUUGGCGGCGUGCUUAAUACAUGCAAGUCAACUGAAGCAGUGGUAGCAAUAUCGCUGUGGAGGUGGCGCACGGGUGAGUAACACGUAGGUAAUCUGCCUUCAGGUCUGGCAUAACUCCGGGAAACCGGGGCUAAUAGCAGAUGAUGCAGCGGCUCGACAUCGAGACAGUUGGUAAAGCUAUGGCGCCUGAAGAGGAGCCUGCGUCUGAUUAGCUAGUUGGCGGGGUAACGGCCCACCAAGGCAACGAUCAGUAGCUGGUCUGAGAGGAUGAUCAGCCACACUGGAACUGAGACACGGCCCAGACUGCUACGGGAGGCAGAAGUAAGGAAGAUUGCGCAAUGGGAGAAAUCCUGAAGCAGCAACGCCGCGUGAGGGACGAAGGGCUUUUGCUUGUAAACCUCUGUAGUGAGAGAAAACAAUCCCAAUCUUUGGGACAUGAUGGUAUCUCAAAAGUAAGCCCCGGCUAACUACGUG
rnacentral:rRNA from 1 species